rnacentral:rRNA from 3 species
CAAAGUUAAUAAGGGCGCACGGUGGAUGCCUUGGCAUUAAGAGCCGAAGAAGGACGUGACUAACGACGAUAUUCUAGGGGGAGCAGUAAGUACGCAUUGAUCCCUAGGUCUCCGAAUGGGGAAACCCACUAUGUUAUGCAUAGUAUCCGUAAGUGAAUACAUAGCUUACGCGAAGGUAACGCAGAGAACUGAAACAUCUAAGUACCUGCAGGAAGAGAAAGUAAAAACGAUUUCCUAAGUAGCGGCGAGCGAACGGGAAACAGGCCAAACCAAGAAGCUUGCUUCUUGGGGUUGUAGGACUGCAACGUGGACUUAAAGUCUAUAGAAGAAUUACCUGGGAAGGUAAGCCAAAGAGAGUAAUAGCCUCGUAUUUGAAAUAGACUUUAUACCUAGCAGUAUCCUGAGUAGGGCUGGACACGCGAAAUCCAGUUUGAAUCCGGGAGGACCAUCUCCCAAGCCUAAAUACUCCUUAAUGACCGAUAGUGAACCAGUACCGUGAGGGAAAGGUGAAAAGAACCCCGGGAGGGGAGUGAAAUAGCACCUGAAACCGUGUGCCUACAAGAAGUUCGAGCCCGUCAAUGGGUGAGAGCGUGCCUUUUGUAGAAUGAACCGGCGAGUUACGUUAUGAUGCGAGGUUAAGCUGAAGAGGCGGAGCCGUAGCGAAAGCGAGUCUGAAUAGGGCGCUUUAGUAUCAUGAUGUAGACCCGAAACCUAGUGACCUAUCCAUGAGCAGGUUGAAGGUGCGGUAAGACGCACUGGAGGACCGAACCAGGACACGUUGAAAAGUGUUUGGAUGACUUGUGGAUAGCGGAGAAAUUCCAAACGAACUGGGAGAUAGCUGGUUCUCUCCGAAAUAGCUUUAGGGCUAGCGUCGCAAUUUAAGUGUAUUGGAGGUAGAGCACUGUUUGGAUGAGGGGCCCAUCUCGGGUUACCAAUUUCAGAUAAACUCCGAAUGCUAAUACACAUGUGCGGCAGUCAGACUGCGAGUGCUAAGAUCCGUAGUCGAAAGGGAAACAGCCCAGACCACCAGCUAAGGUCCCAAAAUAUAUGUUAAGUGGAAAAGGAUGUGGGGUUGCACAGACAACUAGGAUGUUAGCUCAGAAGCAGCUAUCAUUCAAAGAGUGCGUAAUAGCUCACUAGUCGAGUGACCCUGCGCCGAAAAUGUACCGGGGCUAAACAUAUUACCGAAGCUGUGGAUUUAAUAUUAAUUAAAUGGUAGGAGAGCGUUGUAAUCAGCGAUGAAGGUAUACCGUGAGGGGUGCUGGAGCGAUUACAAGUGAGAAUGCCGGUAUGAGUAGCGCAAGAUAAGUGAGAAUCUUAUCCACCGUAAGACUAAGGUUUCCAGGGGAAGGCUCGUCCGCCCUGGGUUAGUCGGGACCUAAGGCGAGGCCGAAAGGCGUAGUCGAUGGACAACAGGUUGAUAUUCCUGUACUAGUAUUGUUAGUGAUGGAGGGACGCAGUAGGCUAAAGGGAGCCAGUUAAUGGAUUCUGGUCUAAGCAGUGAGGUGUGGAAUGUGUCAAAUGCAUUUUCCUUUAACAUUGAGCUGUGAUGGGGAAGCAACUACGGUUGCGAAGCCCUUGAUGUCACACUGCCAAGAAAAUCUUCUAGCGUUUAAUUCAAUACUACCCGUACCGCAAACCGACACAGGUAGUCGAGGCGAGUAGCCUCAGGUGAUCGAGAGAACUCUCGUUAAGGAACUCGGCAAAAUGACCCCGUAACUUCGGGAGAAGGGGUGCUGUAGAAAUACAGCCGCAGUGAAAAGAUCCAAGCAACUGUUUAUCAAAAACACAGCUCUCUGCUAAACCGCAAGGUGAUGUAUAGGGGGUGACGCCUGCCCGGUGCUGGAAGGUUAAGAGGAGGGGUUAGACAUUAGUCGAAGCUCUGAAUUGAAGCCCCAGUAAACGGCGGCCGUAACUAUAACGGUCCUAAGGUAGCGAAAUUCCUUGUCGGGUAAGUUCCGACCCGCACGAAAGGCGUAAUGAUUUGGAUACUGUCUCAACGAGAGACUCGGUGAAAUUUUAGUACCUGUGAAGAUGCAGGUUACCCGCGACAGGACGGAAAGACCCCAUGGAGCUUUACUGCAGAUUGAUAUUGAGUACCUGUGAAGCAUGUACAGGAUAGGUAGGAGACUUUGACCUUGGGACGCUAGUUUCAAGUGAGUCGCUGUUGGGAUACUACCCUUGCUUCAUGGUUGCUCUAACCCACACGCAUAAUCGGCGUGGGAGACAGUGUCUGUCGGGCAGUUUGACUGGGGCGGUCGCCUCCUAAAGAGUAACGGAGGCGCCCAAAGGUUCCCUCAACAUGGUUGGAAAUCAUGUGUAGAGUGUAAAGGUAUAAGGGAGCUUGACUGCGAGAGCUACAACUCGAGCAGGUAGGAAACUAGGGCUUAGUGAUCCGGUGGUACCGCAUGGAAGGGCCAUCGCUCAACGGAUAAAAGCUACCCUGGGGAUAACAGGCUUAUCUCCCCCAAGAGUUCACAUCGACGGGGAGGUUUGGCACCUCGAUGUCGGCUCGUCGCAUCCUGGGGCUGUAGUCGGUCCCAAGGGUUGGGCUGUUCGCCCAUUAAAGCGGCACGCGAGCUGGGUUCAGAACGUCGUGAGACAGUUCGGUCCCUAUCCGUCGCGGGCGUAGGAAAUUUGAGAGGAUCUGCCCUUAGUACGAGAGGACCGGGGUGGACUUACCGCUGGUGUACCAGUUGUUCCGCCAGGAGCACCGCUGGGUAGCUAUGUAGGGAAGGGAUAAGCGCUGAAAGCAUCUAAGUGCGAAGCCCACCUCAAGAUGAGAUUUCCCAUUCUUUAUGAAUUAAGAGCCCUGAGAGAUGAUCAGGUUGAUAGGCUGGAAGUGGAAGUCCUGCGAGGGAUGGAGCGGACCAGUACUAAUAGCUCGAGGACUUUACCAA